CCUGCCAGCCUUAUCUGUUUGUCUUGGGAGCUAAGCAGGAUCAGACCUGGUUUAGUACUUGGUUGGGAGACCUCCUGAGAAUAUCAUGGGGUGCAAGU
rnacentral:rRNA from 1 species